rnacentral:rRNA from 1 species
UACGGGGGGGAGCAAGCGUUGUUCGGAUUUACUGGGCGUAAAGCGCGCGCAGGCGGUCUUCCAAGUCAGUGGUGAAAGCCCGGAGCUCAACUCCGGAACUGCCAUUGAAAACUGUAAGACUUGAGGAUGAGAGAGGUGAGUGGAAUUCCCAGUGUAGAGGUGAAAAUUCGUAGAUAUUGGGAAGAACACCGGUGGCGAAGGCGGCUCACUGGCUCAUUUCCUGACGCUCAGGCGCGACAGCGUGGGGAUCAAACAGG